rnacentral:rRNA from 1 species
UCCUACGGGGCGCAGCAGUGAGGGAUAUUGGUCAAUGGGGGAAACCCUGAACCAGCAACGCCGCGUGAGGGAAGACGGUUUUCGGAUUGUAAACCUCUGUCCUCUGUGAAGAUAAUGACGGUAGCAGAGGAGGAAGCUCCGGCUAACUACGUGCCAGCAGCCGCGGUAAUACGUAGGGGGCAAGCGUUAUCCGGAAUCACUGGGUGUAAAGGGAGCGUAGACGGCUGUGCAAGCCUGAAGUGAAAGGCGUGGGCCCAACCCCUGGACUGCUUUGGGAA